GACCUGGUGGUGUAGUGGUAACACACCUGCUUUAACUCAUCCAAGUUUGUAGAUAAAUUAGUAAGCAGGAGAUCCCCUGUUCAAUUCGGGGUCAGGUUA